UACGAGUGGUGCAAGCGUUAUUCGGAAUCAUUGGGCGUAAAGGGCGCGUAGGCGGUUCGUUAAGUCCUGUGUGAAAUCCCCCGGCUCAACUGGGGAACUGCACAGGAAACUAGCGGGCUUGAGUUCGGGAGAGGGAAGCGGAAUUCCGGGUGUAGCGGUGAAAUGCGUAGAUAUCCGGAGGAACACCGGUGGCGAAGGCGGCUUCCUGGACCGACACUGACGCUGAGGCGCGAAAGCUAGGGGAGCAAACGGG
rnacentral:rRNA from 1 species